GGGGGGGUAGUUCAGUUGGUUAGAAUACCGGCCUGUCACGCCGGGGGUCGCGGGUUCGAGUCCCGUCCACUCCGCCA
rnacentral:tRNA from 1 species